GGCUCAGUAACACGUAGUCAACCUACCUUCGGGACGGGGAUAACCUCGGGAAACUGAGGACAAUCCCCGAUAGGUGAGGGACGCUGGAAUGCCCCCUCGCCCAAAUCCUCCGGGGCCCGAGGAUGGGACUGCGGCCUAUCAGGCUGUUGGUGGUGUGACAGACCACCAAACCUACAACGGGUACGGGCGAUGGGAGUCGGAGCCCGGAGAUGGGGACUGAGACAAGGCCCCAGGCCCUACGGGGCGCAGCAGGCGCGAAAACUCCGCAAUGCGCGAAAGCGUGACGGGGGAACCCCAAGUGCCGUUGGUCUUUUGAUCGACGGCUUUUCGAGAGUCUAAGAAGCUCUUGGAAUAAGGGCUGGGCAAGUCGGGUGCCAGCCGCCGCGGUAAUACCCGCAGCCCAAGUGGUGGUCACGAUUAUUGGGCCUAAAGCGCUCGUAGCCGGGUCAACAAGUCCCUUGUGAAAUCGGACGGCCUAACCGUUCGGCUUGCAAGAGAUACUGUUGGUCUCGAGGCCGGGAGACGUCUGAGGUACUCCGGGGGUAGCGGUGAAAUGCUGUAAUCCUCGGGGGACCACCAGUGGCGANNGCGUCAGACGAGANCGGACCUGACNGUGAGGGGCGANNGCUAGGNAGCGAACGGGAU
rnacentral:rRNA from 1 species